UACGGGGGGGGCAAGCGUUGUUCGGAAUUACUGGGCGUAAAGGGCUCGUAGGCGGCCAACUAAGUCAGACGUGAAAUCCCUCGGCUUAACCGGGGAACUGCGUCUGAUACUGGAUGGCUUGAGUUUGGGAGAGGGAUGCGGAAUUCCAGGUGUAGCGGUGAAAUGCGUAGAUAUCUGGAGGAACACCAGUGGCGUAGGCGGCUCUCUGGGUCCGCCCUGACGCUGAGGCACGAAAGCGUGGGGAGCGAACGGG
rnacentral:rRNA from 1 species